UUUAGGGAAAUACCAACGCAGAUACAAGCAAGGGCUCCUCGACCCGCCUCCUCCUCUUUGCCAUCGACGGCAGUGGCGAGCACGGGAGCAGCAUCCGCGGCUGGACGCCGCUGAGCUGGUCGAGGUUUUCCAUGGUGAAGAACGGUUGCACUUGACCGUCCGCCAAUUGGACUCUGACGCGGCGGUAAGCAGAACCAAGAUCUGGGGCAACACGGCUCGUCCUCCUCUUCCACCUCCCAGUCGAGUGCCACCAUCACAUGCAGAUGGGGAUGGAGGGAGAGAGAUGGCGGUACGGCUGGCGCUGGUUGAGGCUCGGCCAGGCCGUCAACGCCCACCAACAACUUUCGUCGGUACUGUCUCAUUCUUCCUCCCCUCACUCCUAUACCUUCAUGGCCAAAACCAGUAGUAGCAGCAAGAAGGUCAAGCACCAAUGAGGUGCACAUGGCGUGGCGGGAAGACAUGGAUAGUCCAAGACGAAUAUGAACUAGAUCUGAGCAAGAACAUAUGAAGUACAAUUUUAGCUGAAGAGAUGAAGAAGACCAAGGUCAUUAUUGGAAUUGUUUUGAUGCGUUACCUUCUGAAGAUUACUAUAGAAAGUACCAAGGCUCGAUAUGACACUUAUGUUUCUGAUUUUUCUACAUUGUAUUGAUGUUCAGGUGCGACCUGGAAUGAUUUGGUUUGGGACAUUGGGUGGCAGUAUUUUCUCAUGCUGACAACGAUAAUUAUGUUGACGAGGAUUCAGUGGUUGUUGGUGGACGCGGUAGGUGUGCUCCCAUCCUCCUCGCCUCCCCAUAGAUAAUUCAAUUUUGGAAAACUAAUGGUUUUGAUUAUGGGAAACCUAUGACAAAGGUGGGAGUCUUUCUAUUGUCUUUCAAUGGCCAUAUGCAUUAUAAAGAGUCUAGCCUGCAUCGGUGUGGACUUGGUGAGUUCUAUCCAAUUUCUUUGCCUGAUACUCAAAUGAAGGAGAGAGAUUAUAGAGUAGGAUGAUCUUGUUUCUUGCUUGAAUCUGAUGCUGAUACAAUGUUCAUACAAUUAAACUCAUCCUUAGAUACAAAGCUAAGCUUAUUUCUACUUACUGAAUGAGACAGAUAAGUUUUCACUAGUAGACUUAUGUGAUGACCAAAACAUGGAUACUUUAGCUCAACAUAAAAAACUUGGUAUAUUAGCUCCAACAUCUAAUCAGGAUAAUGGAGUUCUAUUGGUCCUUACUGCUAUUCCAAAUCCCUCGGAAGGAAAAACUGCUAUACUAAAUAAACUAUAUGGUCUACUAUUUCUAUUGUUUAGUCUUACUUCCAUUCAUGUAUUUUGUAGUACCCUGGGUAUAUACAAUAGUAAUAGUACAGAUGAAUAUGUAGUGGUACUUGCAUUAUUGCAUAGUAAGUUAAGCAUGUUGUAGUACAUGUCAAACACUCGUGCCAAUGAUAUUUAGAUAUGCUGUUGCAGCGUAUGGUGGCACACUAGGACCCUUCACUGUUAUCAUGUGCAGAAUCUUGAGUUUCCCUCUCCCCAUAUGUUUGUUCAUUCUGACAAACAUCUACAACAAUUUUAUACCGCAACAUAUCACAGAUUUGCCAAGAUUCCAAAGUCUUGUUAUUAUUGUUAAUCACUUUUGAUCUUGAACUUCGACCGACGGAUAAUUAUGACUCUUCGAAUAAGUCUCCAAUCUUUAUGAUUUAAAAUGCAAGCAAUAUUAUGUUUGACAUCAGUGAAUAGUACUAUGUGGUGUCCUUCAUUAAUUCCGGACUGACCUUAUGUCAGCUGCAUAUAGCUUAGACUUUGAUUGGAGUAAAGCACUCAUGCUUUGCUGGCUAUAUUUACAUGUAGUGCUUCAUGUUUAAGAGAGACCGGGCCCAGGACGCAAAGUGGCGCGAAGAAGAUGGAAAAGCUUGACAACAUCUUUUUCGCUUUCAUUACUCAUGGACCUCAUGGUAUUUUAGAUCGUUUCUUGAGGGUUAGGGUCAUUUGUACCAGACCAUAGAUCAUUUCACUAAUUUCCACUAAUUUGGACAACUGAUCUUUGUUUAUCUGUAUAUUGAGAAUCCUUGGUAAGACCAGCCUGGUCUCAUGGCAAUCUUUACCAUACUCUGUUAAUAAUGACUUUUCUAAACUAUAUUGAUAGAGCUUUCAAUGCUGUUUAUACCACAUACGGUUACCAAUUUACAUUACAAUUUGUCCUAAAAAGGAUAUUAAAUCACCACUAUGCCUUGCAUACAUGUUUUGGUAGAAACUGUCUUUUACAAACUUUUUGGAUUGACAGUCGUACUAUGCACACUCUCUAGGUCGAAAAUUUGAAUAUCUUGUUAUUAUUUAGAUAUCGGUGGUAAAAGAAGGGCUUUACCUAUGUUGUUUCUGGCGGAAUAUUGUAACUAUUAGGUGUAUAGGUAUGCUACCUCUGCUAUCUGCCACUCAGUACCAGUUCUUAUUUAGAAAAACAAUUAAAAUUUGUGGUUCUAAUCCGAUUCAUUGUAUUACAGGAUCUUUUGCACAUUAGCCUCUCCUUGCUGACAUCUGGUGAAAGCUGUGGUUGAGGAGAAGAAUGAAAAUCUUAUAGCUCUAGUUUUGCCCCUCCAACGGUCAUGCUCUAAGCUUUGGGUGUGACUGUUUGCACCCUUUCAUGUAGUUGUGUUCCCCUCUAGGAAAUGAAUAGAUUCUCACUCAAAAAAGAAAGGAAAUGAAUAGAUCUAACAUAUUUGGUAUGUCUCCAUUGUUUAUGAGGAAACAACUGGACUAUGGUUAAUGGUCUGUGGUGUUGAG